rfam:Candidate division NC10 bacterium RIFCSPLOWO2_02_FTLL_66_22 rifcsplowo2_02_scaffold_7163, whole genome shotgun sequence.
GAAGGCAGGCCCUUCGGAGUCGCCCUACAGGGGGAGGCUCCAAACCGCCAUGAGCGGCUCGGGUCAAAAGCCCUGGUCGUGAGCGUCAUGGAAAAGGCGGGAGCACCCGUCAGGU